rnacentral:SRP_RNA from 1 species
GGAUGGACUAGGUCGGGCGGUUAGGCCCCGCUCGUACUCCCGCACUAUGGUCUUUAGCGGGGGCCGAACCCGGGGGCGUCCGGUCUGACGGGCGCGGACCCCGCAAGCUAACGUGGAAGCCUCGUCCGACGGGGGUAGCGGUCCACGGGAGUUCACCUGCAGGGGUGAUCUGCCGUGGUUUACCGCGGGCAAUCCGCCAGGCGCGGAAGCGAGCAGCGGACCCGCGGACACCUGCCGCUCGUCGGGUCGCGGGGUGGAGGAGGCGCGCGGGACUAUCCGUGCUCGAACGCCGGGCAAUCCCGUUGUCCACCC